UACAGAGGUCUCAAGCGUUGUUCGGAUUCAUUGGGCGUAAAGGGUGCGUAGGUGGCGCUGUAAGUCGGGUGUGAAAUUUCGGAGCUUAACUCCGAAACUGCAUUCGAUACUGCGGUGCUUGAGGACUGGAGAGGAGACUGGAAUUCAUGGUGUAGCAGUGAAAUGCGUAGAGAUCAUGAGGAAGACCAGUGGCGAAGGCGGGUCUCUGGACAGUUCCUGACACUGAGGCAUGAAGGCCAGGGGAGCAAACGGG
rnacentral:rRNA from 1 species